ACUAUUUUAAGUGAGAAAUGUCUGAUAGUUUUUUUUUAAGUUACAUGUAUUUAUUUAUUUUUGAUGUGGCAUGUAUGUGUAGAGAGCAGAGGACAGCUUGUGGGAGUCAGUUAUCUCCGUCCACCAUGUGGGCCCCAGGGGUUAAACUCAGGCCAUCUAGCCUGGCAACCAUUUCCUUUGCCCACUGAGCCAUCUCCACAUCCUGCUAGCCCUGCUUCUCUUAAUAACUUUCAUGCAUAAGAACGUCUUGCCUACCUGCUGUGUCUUUACACUAUGUGUGUGCAGUGCCUGUUGAAGCCAGGAGAGGGCAUCAGAUCCCCUGGAACUGUAGUUAUGGACAGCUGUGGCUGCUCAGACUCACACCUGGUCCUUUGAAAGAGGACCACUGAGCCAUCUCUCUCUUCCAGCCCAUCUCUAAGGGGCAGUGCAGAUGCAAGUCAGUGAGAGUUUUUCGCUGAUCGGUUAUCCUGUAUUGUUCAUCUCUUGGUUUGUGUUUUAACAGAGUGGGAUCUAAGAGGCAUCUGCUUGCUUCCUCCUGUUGUAUAUAUUCCCUCUUUGGGGUGGAAUCAAAUGGAUCAGUGUCUAUUAUAGUCUGUAUUUUGUCUCCUUUAGGUUUUUUGAGGCAGGAUUCUGUGUACUCAGGCUAGCCUUGGACUUGUGAUGUCACUUAAGGAUGUGUGGAGGAUCUUCCUGCCUCCACAUCCCUGAGUGCUGGGAUUAGGAGUUCCUGUCAGCGUGCCUGAUUUAUAUAUAGGUGCUGGGAAUCAAACUCAGGGAUUUAUGCAUGCUAAGCAAAUGCUGUCUCAACCAAGCCACAGCCACAGCCUCCCCGUUUGUUUGACUGCCCCUUCGUCCCCCACGCACAGUGGAGGCGUUCUUAGUUUAUAUCGGCUCCGACGCUCCGGGAGGCAAAGACAGGGAAGGCAACCCAGAAUGGUGGAUGGCUGGAUGGUUUUGAGCCAUGGAAACCAAGCCCAGCCAACUUAAACAAAAAGGGAAUUCAUUGGCCUGCUACUAGGGAGUCACGGAACAGAAGAGCCAACAUCCAGGUUCUGGAAGAGGCAGGAGCCAGGGUUGCCGUGAGAUUUUUAGCAGCAAUUCCCACAGCUGGCCGCUGAGGAUGCCCUUCUGGGGUUAAUCAACUCUGUGGUUUCCUUUCCUUGCAUCAGUCUCUAGGGGAGACAGGCUGCUUGUCUCAGCGGAGGUUCCUAGCCCAGACCCCUCCAAAGGUGGAAGGUGGACAGGCGUCUUGGCACGCAGCCCCUCCGGACUACACGCAGAGGGCUGGCUGGGCCUCAAAACAAAGUCUGGUUGCUGUUAGCUGAAGGGGGAGGGGAGAGUGCUGAACAGGCAAAAGCACUGCUGGCCACAGCCUUGUUCUAACUAGAUUCCCUUGGUGACCUGUGGAGAGCUGGGGCACUGUCUUUUGUCUUCGUUUCUAAGACUUUCAUCUUCGUCUCUUCAAACCUUUAGCAGUGGGAACAUUUAAAAUACACUAAGAGCCGGCUGUAGUGGCUCAUGCCUGUAGUCACCAGAGAUGUGAAGGCAGGGGCGUCGGGGGAAUUCAAGGUUUUCUGCCAGUCUGUGCUACAUGAGACUUUGUCUCAAACAAAUAUACAAAAGGAGUAAGGACUAGAGCAGCUUAGUCCGAUCCAUGUGUGCCAUGUACCCCUGAGGACCUGAGUUCAGACUCCCAGCAUGCACAUGAAAGCCAUGCGUAUGUGGUACUCGGCUACACCCAGCACCAGCACUAUCCAGGGAAGGGGCAGGCAGAGUGGAGUUAACAGACCAGCAUCCUUGUAGAGUGGAUGAGCUACAGGCUCUAAGAGCAACUGUGUAUCAAAAAAUGAGGCAUAAUGUAAAGGAGGAAGACACUGGAUACAGAUCUGUGGCCUCCACAGCUGUACGUGAACACCCAUGCUCACAGACAUCAAACGGGUAGAUGCCAGAGGGCCAAUAAGAUGGCUAAGGGGUAUAGGCUCUAGCCGUGCAAGCCUAAUGACCUGAAUUCCAUACCCACAACCCACAUAAGAGUCAAAGGACAGACCAGUCUUCUGCAAGAGCAGUUUGCUCUCAAAAGGGAGGAGCCACCUCCCCAGCCCCUCCACUUCCUUUGAAACAAUGUUUCUCAUUGAACUCCAAGCUCACUAGUCAACAGCUGGCUAGAGAUCCUGAAGUCCACUUGCUUCCCCACCUGUAACCCCACUUGGGGUUACAGACAUGUGCCACCUUGCCUUUUUUUCACCUGGGUGCUGGGGAUCGAACUCAAUUCCUCAUGCUUGUAUGUUAGCACUUUGCCCACUGAGCCACUUCCCCAGCCCCUAUUGGCUGCUUUCUAAGAAUAAGGUUUUGGGAGCUCGUUCAUGUUUCACAUGUUAGCAAUUAAUCCCUUUUGUUGCUGAGAACAACUUGCUGGGUCAAAUAUCCCGCAGAUCUAAGUAGCUGUGCAUUUAUUUUUACAACUUCAUACAUAAACCUACACAAGCACUUUAAUUCCAGCCCUGAUAGGCUUCUGUUCCCCUCUCUGUCUUCCACUUUUAGUUCUUCUUUCUGACAUUUUAUGUUGGCUCCGUGCAUUUAAUUAGCAUUGCUGGGGGUUAGUCGCUUCAGAAAAGGCAACUUACACCCCAGAGGAAUAUGGCCACGCCCCCACCGCCUCUCUACGCCACCUCCUGCCCUACCCAACCCUAGCAACCAAUAACUAACUGCUCAUAGCUCAUGAGGGAAGAGUGGGCCUCAGAGCCCUUCUCUCCCAUCUUGUUCAGGUCUUGUGCAAGAAACCACAGCUGCUUCAAGUUGCUGCACAACUGUCUCCCUGGCCUUCCUCAAGCUGCUAAACCUUUCGACCGCCGCCGUUGAUGGAUGCCUGGAUCGCUUUCCAGUGUCGGCUUUGUACUACUCUCCAGGAAUGGCAGCUUAUACCACCACUUGCGAAGCUGAGAAAGGAGAAUUGUGAGUUUAAGAUCAUUGUUGAAUAACAGCAAAUUUGAAGCCAGCCUGGGCUACACAGAAAGAGCCUAUGUCAAAACAGCAACAACAGCAAUAAUAAUGGUCAAAUGUGGUUAUUCAGCAUUAAUUUCAAAUUUUAUUUAAUCUAAAACCAUAACCAAAACUUACAUUUGAGAAAACUGGGAGGGUCACCUGGUAGCGAAGUGGGUUAAAGGAGCUUGCCACCAAACCAGACAGCUUGAGUUUGAAGGAGAGAACCGAUUGCCACAAGUUGUCCUCAGACUUAUGUGUCCCUGGGUAUGAGUGCUCCCACCACUAAACAAAAGAAAUUUUAAAAAUACAAUAAACAUUUAAAAUAAAUUAAACAUAAAAAGAGCAGGACCCAAGGGAGGGAGUGCUCAAUGAGAAAACUUCAGAACUGUGAACUUCAGAAAAGAAAGCUUUAAAGACAGUGGGGAGAUAAAGUUAGGAGCUAACGGGUUCUGUGCUGAGGGUAGCAACAUCUUUCCUUUUGUAUUUUAAAGACAGGGUCUUACCAUGUAGCCCAGGCUGGCCUUGAACUUGAAACUUCAGCUCCCUCCCCCGCCCCAAGUUUUGGGAUUACAGAUGUGCACCACCACCCAUCUAGAACUAUCACCCCAUUUUUGAGCAAGCAGAAAGCCCACAGAGUUGCCCACUUCUGGGAAGAAGUGUGUCACCUCGGGAAGGAAGUGGUGUCUGAGAUGGCCUGCCCCCCCCCCCCGCCCCCCAGCCUGGCUUUUGGCCAUUUAGAAACAGCAUAGCUGUGUUAAACACACAGAGUGCUGGGAUAAUUGGAAACAGAUGAGGUGCAGCCUGCUUCUUUUGACUGUUGCUUGCGAAAUGCAGCCUGUAACAGCCAUGUGGUGUGGGGAAGCUGUGCUAGGCAGGCGGGUUUGCCAAGGAUGUCUUGUACCUAUGGGCCACACUUUUUUUUCCUGCUCUGCGAAGCCUAGUAUGCUCCAAGGGAGAGGGAGAACAAGCUGUCUACGAGUCUCCUAAGGUUUAAUGUAAGAUUUCAUCUAUAUGAUGUCAUUUUACAUCCCUUUUUGGGCGGUGUGGGGGUAUAAGCACACAAGUGUGUACAUGGGCAUAGACUGAGACCUUGUCUGGGAACAGGGAACUCAGUUGAGAAAAUGCCUCCAUUAAUUGGCCUGUAGGCAAGCCUGUUUUUUUUUUUUUUUUUUUUCUAUUUGAGAGAGUGUCACUCUUUCAAGCUCUGGCUAUCAUGGAAUUCUCUUACAGACCAAUCUGGCCAAACUCAGAGACCUGCCCCGCUCCCAAGGUGCUGGGAUUCAAGGCGCCCACCAUCACACCCUGCUACCAUUUUCUCGAUUAAUGAUUGAUACAGGAUAUUAUGGCUUGUAUAUGCUCAGGGAAUGACACUAUUAGCAGGUGUGGCUUUGUUGGAGUAGGUGUGUCACUGUAGGCGUGGGCUUUAAGACCCUCAUCCUGACUGCUUGGAAGUCAGUCUUCUCUUAGUGGCCUUCAGAUGAAGAUGUAGAACUCUCAGCUCCUCCUGCACCAUGCCUGUCUGGAUGCUGCCAUGUUCCCACCUUGAUGAUAAUGGACUGAACCACUGAACCUAUAAGCCAGCCCCAAUUAAUUAAAUGUUGUCCUUUAUAAGAGGUGUCUGUUCAUGGUGUCUCUUCACAGUAGCAAAAUCCUAACUAAGACAUGGGAGGUGAUGCCACCCCUGUGCAGAUGGUCCUGCCAUGAGGAACAAGCCAUUAAGCGGUGUUCCUCCAUGAUCCCUGCUUCCGUUCCUGCCUCCAGUUCUUACCCAGAUGUCUCUCCAUAAUGCACUGUAAGCUGUAAGCCAACUAAACGGUUUCCUCUCCAA